rnacentral:rRNA from 1 species
UACAGAGGUCUCAAGCGUUGUUCGGAUUCAUUGGGCGUAAAGGGGUGCGUAGGUGGCGCGCUAAGUCGGGUGUGAAAUUUCGGAGCUUAACUCCGAAACUGCAUUUGAUACUGGCGUGCUUGAGGACUGGGAGAGGAGACUGGAAUUCAUGGUGUAGCAGUGAAAUGCGUAGAGAUCAUGAGGAAGACCAGUGGCGAAGGCGGGUCUCUGGACAGUUCCUGACACUGAGACACGAAGGCCAGGGGAGCAAACGGG